rnacentral:tRNA from 1 species
CAAAAAAUAGUUUAAAUAAAACAUUAAUUUUGGAAAUUAAAAUUAUAACUCAAUUUUAUUUUUUUGA